rnacentral:tRNA from 1 species
AAAAAAUUAGUUAAAGUAUAUAACAUUAGCUUGUCAAGCUAAAAUUAUUAAUUAUUAAUAUUUUUUA